CUUGAAGCGACAAGGAAUGCUAUUUUGCACUCGGUUAUGUCUGCGUUUUUAUACGAUCGGUAACAUGUACCAGUCAAAGUCGAAAGUCAAAUCUCUGUUGCGACAAUACAUCGGAAUGCCCUCACGGUCAUCGUGAUGUAAACAUGAAGUGUGGGCAGGAGGACGUGUGCUUCCUUGUUCCAGGACAAACACUAUUGUUUUAUUUUUUCUCUCAUUUUCUCAUAUUUAUCAGAAUAAUCUGUCCGGGUAAGGUGAAAUGGAUUUCUGUGAAGUAGCAUGUUAAAAAUCCGACUCAGGGUGUUGGUCUAUUACAAAACAGGGUUAAUAUUCAUUUCACAUUAAUAUGUUCCCGUACGAAUAUGCACCUGUCCCAAGUCUGGAGCCUGUAAUUCAGUGGGUUGUCGUCUGUUGAUGUGUUACAUACCGGUUUUUGUUUUUCGUUCAUUUUUUGUACAUAAAUUAUGUCGUUAGUUUUCUCGUUUGAAUUGUUUUACAUUUGUCAUUAAGGGGCCUUUUAUAGCUGAUUAUGCGGUAUGGGCUUUGCUCAUUGUUGAAGGCCGUACGGUGACCUAUAGUUGUUAAUUUCUGUGUCAUUUGGUGUUUUGUGGAGAGUUGUCUCAUUGGCAAUCAU
rnacentral:lncRNA from 1 species